rnacentral:rRNA from 1 species
AGUGAACGCUGGCGGUAGGCCUAACACAUGCAAGUCGAACGGCGGCACAGUAAGAGCUUGCUCUUACUGGUGGCGAGUGGCGGACGGGUGAGUAAUACAUCUGAAUCUACUUUUUCGUGGGGGAUAACGUAGGGAAACUUACGCUAAUACCGCAUACGACCUACGGGUGAACGCAGGGGAUCUUCGGACCUUGCGCGAUUGAAUGAGCCGGUGUCGGAUUAUCUAGUUGGCGGGGUAAAGGCCCACCAAGGCGACGAGACGUAGCUGGUCUGAGAGGAUGAGCAGCAACACUGGAACUGAGACAAGGUACAGACUCCUACGGGAGGCAGCAGUGGGGAAUAUUGGACAAUGGGCGCAAGCCUGAUCCAGACAUACCGCGUGGGUGAAGAAGGCCUUCGGGUUGUAAAGCCCUUUUGUUGGGAAAGAAAAGCAGCAGGUUAAUAGCCCACUGUUCUGAAGGUACCCAAAGAAUAAGCACCGGCUAACUUCGUG